GAUGAACGCUGGCGGCGUGCCUAAUACAUGCAAGUCGAGCGAACGGACGAGAAGCUUGCUUCUCUGAUGUUAGCGGCGGACGGGUGAGUAACACGUGGAUAACCUACCUAUAAGACUGGGAUAACUUCGGGAAACCGGAGCUAAUACCGGAUAAUAUUUUGAACCGCAUGGUUCAAAAGUGAAAGACGGUCUUGCUGUCACUUAUAGAUGGAUCCGCGCUGCAUUAGCUAGUUGGUAAGGUAACGGCUUACCAAGGCAACGAUGCAUAGCCGACCUGAGAGGGUGAUCGGCCAUACUGGAACUGAGACACGGUCCAGACUCCUACGGGAGGCAGCAGUAGGGAAUCUUCCGCAAUGGGCGAAAGCCUGACGGAGCAACGCCGCGUGAGUGAUGAAGGUCUUCGGAUCGUAAAACUCUGUUAUUAGGGAAGAACAUAUGUGUAAGUAACUGUGCACAUCUUGACGGUAACUAAUCAGAAAGCCACGGCUAACUACGUG
rnacentral:rRNA from 1 species